CAAAUAAGAGAAACGAAACCUCAUAUAAUAUUCAGGAAUAUGGCCUGAGAGUUUCUACCCAAUAACCGUAAAUUAUUGGACUAUGAGGAAAGAACAAUCAAUU
rnacentral:ncRNA from 2 species